UCUUCAGUAGUAUAGUGGUCAGUAUUUCCGCUUGUCAUUCGUGACAGUUCGCGGGAGGCCGGAGUUCGAUUCUCCGCUGGAGAG